rnacentral:lncRNA from 1 species
AUGGGUUCUAUAUUAGUUUACAAAUAUUUGCUGACCAAAAUUUCAGUCUUUGUGUUCCUUGUUAAGUACCCAUUUUCCUUAGAAAUGAGAAAAUAAAAGCAAAAUUAAAGGGAUGACCAGAUGAUUGGAUCACUGUCUGCUCUCUUUCCUUAGUAACAAUGUUGUUUUCUAAUGCAAAACGGUAGUAACCAUCCACACCAU